rnacentral:rRNA from 1 species
GGAAGGAAGCCUUGCUCCUCCGGAUCAGUGGCGAACGGGUGAGUAACACGUGAGCAAUCUGCCCCUGACUCUGGGAUAAGCGUUGGAAACGACGUCUAAUACCGGAUACGAGCUGAGAAGGCAUCUUCAGCAGCUGGAAAGAACUUCGGUCAGGGAUGAGCUCGCGGCCUAUCAGGUAGUUGGUGAGGUAACGGCUCACCAAGCCUACGACGGGUAGCCGGCCUGAGAGGGUGACCGGCCACACUGGGACUGAGACACGGCCCAGACUCCUACGGGAGGCAGCAGUGGGGAAUAUUGCACAAUGGGCGAAAGCCUGAUGCAGCAACGCCGCGUGAGGGACGAAGGCCUUCGGGUUGUAAACCUCUUUUAGCAGGGAAGAAGCGAAAGUGACGGUACCUGCAGAAAAAGCACCGGCUAACUACGUGC